UUUUGGUUAGUAGCUUUCAUAGGAAAUUUAAUUUCAUAUGUAAAUUAAAUUGCUUAUUUGGGGUUUUAUUUGAGAUUUUUUGAAGAAGAAGACUCAAUUUGGUUAGAUUACCCAAUUGGAAUUUCUGUUCACUGUUGAUUUUAACGAAAGAAGAAGAUCCAAUUUAAGUUGCAUAUUUGGAGUUUUGCUUAGGAUUUUCUGAUUCUAAUUAAAGAAGAAGAGUUGAUUUGAUUAGAUUGCUUGCUUUGGAUUUCUAAAAAGAACCAAUUGGUUUUUUAAUUUCUACAUAGAUUAACCAAUUUUUUUCCUUUAUUGAUGAGUUCUCUAUGAAAAUAUUGCUUUGUUGUUUGUUCAUAUUUGUUAUAGCUAUGUCGAAAUAGCAGCGACAGAUAUUAGGAAAAAGCAUGAGCACACACCGGGCUUCCAAAAUCACUUGGUAAAAAAAUCCUCUUUUUUCCUUACUUGUAUUUCUCAUGAAUGUAUUGUGUAUACAAAGAUCAUAAUCAAUUGGCUUAAUAUGAUGACGAUAGACGAAAACUAACGGACUUGGAUACUAUUUUUCCUCGUGGACAUAAUUCUACCAGCUACUGGUAUAUUUGAUGAUUGUUUUAUUUGUUUUGUUCUUACAUUAGUUUUGAAGUAUGAAAACUUGAUUAUGUUUACUUGAACUGUGCCUUUAUAAAAAGGUUGUCAGGAAUAUCCCCGAUUCAUUCACCAAUCCAGGUGACUAGAGCCGUCAAUAUGGGGCCAAGGCCCAUUGGGCCGGUCCGGCCCAACCUGUAAUUUAAUGGGGUGAGCUUUAAUUUCUGUAGCCCAUUUAAGAACAUGGCUUUUUAGUCCGACCCGGAUAAGCUCGUGGCCCGUAGGGCUUGAGGAAUAUGGGUUGGGCCAGCACGUGGGCCUAUUACUACUGUAGCAUCAGAAUCACCAUUCAGCAUUGGAGGGUGCGUUCUCACCAAAUAUAGAAGUUGUAUCCAUCAUGAAAAUGUCCAAACACUUGUUACCACUCGAAAUUGAUUGCACGGUUACUCUCAAAUUGAUAAUAGUUUUUGCAUACAUGUAAAUAUUAUUAGUUACGAAAUUUUAUUAUUUUUUAAUGUUUAAUUAAUUAAUAUGUAUAUAAAUUGUAGAUGAAAAUGAAGAUUACGAAACAGUUUUAUCAAAAGAUGAUUCAGAGAUGCUUGAUGAAGAAUAAAGUUGUGAUAUUAGAUACAUAAUGAGUGUCAUGAAAAUUUUUCUUGAGGAGUUCAUUUUUUUUUUGGGGAAAAAUUACACAAAUUCCAUAUUUAAAACACCACAUUGCACAAUAUCCCUUAAUAUUUUAAAAAUUACAUAAAAUUCCGGAUUUCAUAUUUACUAGUGAUACACAUCAUGACACUAGUGAUACACAUAGCAUAUGUAUCAUUAGUCCAUAUGUAUCACUGCUUAACAUAUGUAUCACCAAUUCAAAAUUCUGGGAUAAGAUGUAAUUAGCAAACUAUCCAAAAUUUUAUGUAAUUUUGUUGAAACUAUCCGGGAUUUAUGUAAGUUACUCUUUUUUUUUUUUUUGAGUGAAUGAAAUGUUGACAUUUUUUGUGGUUUAUUUAUAUUCAUGUCAAAAGUUAUUUAAUUUCGUUAUUAGAAUUAUUUUUGGGGUGUUGAAGAUUUGACUAACAAGCAUUAAUACUAUGUGUUACUGUGUGAUAAAUAUUUAUGUUUAUCAAUAGUGUAAAAUUAAAUUAUAAAAUAUUAUUUUUUAAAAAGUGGGCUGGCCCGUGAGGCCCACAGCCCACAGGGUAAUAGCGUGGGCUUGAUGUUUUUUGGCCCGUCAUUUAAAUGGGCCAACCUGGCUUGGCCCGUCAAACUCAAAGCCCAUAUGGGCUAACGCAAAUGGGUUGGGCCAACCCGUAUUGACAGCUCUACAGGUGACCCUAUUAGAGUGGAGCCAUAUAAGGUUACAAUGGACAAGGAGAUGGGCACAACGACUUGGUUACAUCUCCCACAUGAGGCAAUUUGGAGGUUAGUGGGCUGGAAAUUUCCUCUCCUUAAAUAAAUGAUGUCUGUUGUGGAUUUAAGGUUAUUUUGUUGGAAGUAUUUCUGUAAAGUCUAUCCUAAUGGCACAUUGGCGGACCUUAAUUGAAAUCUAAAUAUUUGGAGUUCUGGAUUUAUAGUUAGGGCUAUGAGAAGCUGCUAUGGACGAGCUUGACUAUAUAUUUUCAUGUGUAUUCAGUAUUGUACUGCAUGAUGCUCAAAACCUUUUAUACUAAUGAAAUGAAAUGGUAAAGUGUGGUCAUUCCCUGUAUAACGCUAAUGUUGCAAAACAUAAGGGUAAAGUUCAUGUGUUAGUAUUUCUUUUGCAUAAAAAUAAUAAGUUUUACUUACACCGUGGGAUGUGAUAAUAGCUAGAUAUAGAAGUAUGUUUAACCCCUUUUAUUUCACUGCUUUGGAGAGAAAUUGGCAGUAAUUUAAUCACCUUAGAUUUCCCUUUUCUGUCUAUUAGUCAGUAGCUUGAUAUAUUUUGAUCCCUUGGUCAGUUCUUGUUGAACUCAGAAGUUUCCAAAGCUGAAAGUAAUUGAUAAGGGUAUUUUUUUCAUUCUGUUCUACAAGUGAUACGUGUACCCACUACAAUUUCCUAGAAACAGGUGGCAAAGUCCGAUGUUCUCUAUCUCCGUUCCUAUGGUAUUUCUCUGUUCAACAAGAAGUAAAGCUAAGCUGCAAUUGUGUUGAUUACCCAAAGCACUUGAUUGGAAUUCGAUUUCUAUCAUAUACUAAUUUGGUCCUUCUAAUCGAUUUUGAUUGUUGCCGAUUUAGCUGAAUCAAUAAAGAUCGCACCUUUUUUUUUAAAUUAAAAUCAUUUAAUUUUUGUGAUUUAGGAUUUUUGAUAUAUGAUCUUGACUUUCGAAUCGGAAAAUGUUUAAUUGCCGAUUAAUCGACGAGCUGAUUGACGAUUCUGAAGAGGGCUUUGGAUUUUGUGUGGAAGCUCAGAGUCAGAAGCGAGCGGAGGCCACCUCAUCAGUGCCUUCUCACAGUUAUGUUCUCUUGAUGGGGUUGUUUUAGAAGCAUUAAGUAAUUGACAAAAAUUAUAUAGAAAGAAGAAGAAUUAUUGAAGAUUUUUGAUGCAUAUUCUUUUGCCAAUGUCCAUGGCUGACCCAGAUGGAAAAUAGGUUAAUAGGCUCGGGAGAAGAUUAUCCAUUUUAAAAUUCGAAGCGGUUUGGAGAGUUUGAGGGGAACAAAGAGGGUUCUGAAAGGAGUAAUAACAAUUGGUGACAAGCUAAGCAUUUUAUUUAUUUAAUGUAGGUUGUACUGAUUGCUUCAUGAAUUCGUUUAUAUGUGUGAGAAAUUGGUGAUGAUUAUUUGUCAACAUCUGUUUAGGUUUUCGUUUAUAUGUGUGAGAAAUUGGUGACGAUUAUUUGUCAACAUCUGUUUAGGUUUUGGUUUAACUAUUUCACUUUCCUAAAAAAUGAAACCUAACUCAUCAUUGGGUACUGAACAGACUUCAACUGACUGAUUUUGUAGUUAUACUUGGGAGAUUUACAUCAAAUAGGCAAAAUUUUUGUUCGUGUUAUAAGCUAUCAUUAGGUAUCAAAACAAAUUGAAUACAAACUUUACCAAGUCAAGCUACUAGAAUUCCAGUUGCAGGGCAAAGCUAAAAGCUAAAUACAAGCUUUAAUUUUCUUAUUCUUAUUACUCCUAUUACAUAAGUGAAGAUAAUGUCUACAAAUGUUUCU